AAUCAACGCUGGCGGCGUGCCUAACACAUGCAAGUCGAACGAGAAGGUGACUCGGUCACUGGAUAGUGGCGUCCGGGUGAGUAACACGUAGGUAAUCUACCUUCGGGUGGGGAAUAACGUCUCGAAAGAGACGCUAAUACCGCAUAAUGCAGCGGCACCUAAUGGUGAUUAGUUGUUAAAGCGGGGGAUCUUCGGACCUCGCGCCUGAAGAGGAGCCUGCGGCAGAUUAGCUAGUUGGUGAGGUAAUGGCUCACCAAGGCUUCGAUCUGUAGCUGGUCUGAGAGGACGGCCAGCCACACUGGCACUGACACACGGGCCAGACUCCUACGGGAGGCAGCAGUGGGGAAUUUUGGGCAAUGGGCGAAAGCCUGACCCAGCAACGCCGCGUGAAGGAGGAAAUCCUUCGGGAUGUAAACUUCAUAAGUAAGGGAAGAAAGCUGCGGAUCGAAUAAGUCCGCAGUCCGACGGUACCUUACGUAAGCCACGGCUAACUACGUGCCAGC
rnacentral:rRNA from 1 species